UGACGGGUAACGGGGAAUUAGGGUUCGAUUCCGGAGAGGGAGCCUGAGAAACGGCUACCACAUCUAAGGAAGGCAGCAGGCGCGCAAAUUACCCAAUCCUAAUACAGGGAGGUAGUGACAAGAAAUAACAAUACAGGACUUAAUUGUUUUGUAAUUGGAAUGAGUUAAGUAUAAACCCCUUUACAAGUAUCAAUUGGAGGGCAAGUCUGGUGCCAGCAGCCGCGGUAAUUCCAGCUCCAAUAGCGUAUAUUAAAGUUGUUGCAGUUAAAAAGCUCGUAGUUGGAUUUCUGUUAAUAUUUUAUAUUAUUAAUUUAUUAUUAUUAAUAUAAUAUUAACAUAAUUCAUAUUACUUUUUUUGAGUAUAUGAAAUUUUACUUUGAGAAAAUUAGAGUGCUUAAAGCAGGCAUUUGCCUUGAAUACUCCAGCAUGGAAUAAUAUUAAAGAUUUUUAUCUUUCUUAUUGGUUCUAAGAUAGAAAUAAUGAAUAAUAGGG
rnacentral:rRNA from 1 species